rnacentral:rRNA from 1 species
GACGAACGCUGGCGGCGUGCUUAACACAUGCAAGUCGAACGGAAAGGCCCUGCUUUUUUGGGGUUCUCGAGUGGCGAACGGGUGAGUAACACGUGAGUAACCUGCCCUUUACUUUGUGAUAACUUCAGGAAACUGGUGCUAAUACCGGAUAGGAGCUCCUGCUGCUUGGUGUGGUUUGGUAUUUUUCGGCGGUUGGGGAUGGACUCGCGGCUUAUCAGCUUGUUGGUGGGGUAGUGGCUUACCAAGGCUUUGACGGGUAGCCGGCCUGAGAGGGUGACCGGCAAAAUUGGGACUGAGAUACGGCACAGACUACUACGGGAGGCAGCAGUGGGGAAGAUUGCACAAUGGGAGGAAGCAUGAUGAAGAAAAGCAGCGUGCGGGAUGACGGCCUUCGGGUUGUAAAAAGAUUUAGAAUGUGAAGAAGAGUGAGUGACGGUAAUGGGUAAAGAAGCACCGGCUAACUACGUG